rnacentral:rRNA from 1 species
UUAGAGGAAGGAGAAGUCGUAACAAGGUUUCCGUAGGUGAACCUGCGGAAGGAUCAUUGUCGAACCUGCUUCAUGCAAAAAUGACCCGCGAACUUGUUUAUUCAUCUACCGUCGGGAGGGAGGGGAUGACCACGGCGCCCCGUGCGCCCGGCCUCCUCGUCCUCGCGACAAACACAAACCCCGGCGCUUCGUGCGCCAAGGAACUCAAAUCUGUUAAGUGCGACUCCCGGGGGCCCGGAGACGGUGUCCCGCGGGAGUCGUCACGACACAACAUUUACGUACAAUGACUCUCGGCAACGGAUAUCUCGGCUCUUGCAUCGAUGAAGAACGUAGCGAAAUGCGAUACUUGGUGUGAAUUGCAGAAUCCCGUGAACCAUCGAGUCUUUGAACGCAAGUUGCGCCCGGAGCCAUUAGGCCGAGGGCACGCCUGCCUGGGUGUCACACAUCGUUUCCCCAACGCAAACAUGUAACAAUGUUGCUGCGCGGGGUGUAUGCUGACCUCCCGCGAGCACCCGCCUCGUGGUUGGUUGAAAUCUGGGUUCAUGGCCGACUUCGCCGUGAUAAAAUGGUGGAUGAGCCACGCUCGAGACCAAUCACGUGCGAGCCGGUCAGUUCUGGACCCAUCGACGACCCUUUGCGUGCACGCACGCUCCCAACGAGACCUCAGGUCGGGCGGGGCUACCCGCUGAG